CCUAUGACGCUGAUAUUGCUGCUGCCCCACAGCUUGGCAAUGGGGGCUGGGGGGGCUUUGGUGCUGCAGGAAUGACUGCACGUGGUGGCAUAGGAAAGUAAAUACAAAACAUUUAAUAAUUUAAUUUAAUGCAAUUUAACAUAAUUCAAGACAAUUUGACAUAAUUUAGCAGUCCAAGAUGACGUUGGUGGACAGCCCAGGUUUGGAGGGGUAGGGCUGGGGCCGGUGCUGGUGCCCCUGGAGCACUGCCGCUGCUCUCUGUGCACCGCGGGGGCCGGCGAGGAGCCCAGGGCUGCAGGGAGCCGUCUUUGUUGGCUCUGGCCGUGUCUCCUGCUGCACCACGUGGGCCGGUUUCUGCGGACGCUCCUGCUCGGGCUGAGCCCACCCAGCUUCGCCUAGCGCCGGCGUUUCUGUCCUGGAGCGUCCUGGCCCAGCGGCACCUUCCUCUUUCUGCUUGCGAUGCGGCCAGUGCGCUGCUCGUGCCAUCUGCUCUUGCC
ensembl:lncRNA